CACUUCAUGCUUAUCCUACACCCUCUCAUAGGGAUGAGAAGCUCCAUUCUCACCAGCAUGAUGGAGCAAACUCAAAUGCUUCAUCAGCCCAACUUAAGCAGAGGAAGAAGGUAGGAGAUGAAGAUGAUUUCACAGUACCUGUAUUCGUUCAAUCUGGGAUAGACCAAUGUCUUCAUAAAAAUCAGAAUGGCAUUGAUGGGGAAAAGUUCACUUCUUUCAGCCAAAAUUACUUGGGUUCAAGAAAAAUACAAAAUGCUGGCAAUGCUAAUAAAAAUAAUAAUAUCUUCAGAGGUCCCAAUUUGAGACAGGAUGCAAGAAAUCAUAGUGACGGUAGCCUGGAGGUGUGUGUCUCAAGUAGGGAUAAUUCAGGAAGAUCUUCAAUGAAUUUACCAACUAGGGAAAGGAUAGAUAGGCCUGGGGAUGAAUCUUUGGAUCAACAAAAUGAAGGUCAACUUAGAUCUAGUUUUAACAAAUUGUCUGAAAGUGAUGAUUGUUUGCUACAAAAUGGCAGCGUACACGGUGAAGAUGUUCCUGAGCUUACAACAGAAACAGAGAAAGAUAACAUUCCCCGGUCAAGAAGUGACUCUCAUUCAAGGGAGGAUCUUGAUAGUCUCAAUGAGCCUGAAAUUGAUAGUGAAUUUUGUGGAGACAAGACAUGUAGGUCACUACAAUUGGGAAAUGGAGACAAAAGUGAUGAUGUCUCUGAGACCUCUAUGGUGGAUUCUAUAUCAGCAUUGGAUAUUUCUCCUGAUGAUAUUGUUGGAAUUAUCGGUCAGAAACAUUUCUGGAAAGCAAGAAGGGCAAUUGUCAAUCAACAAAGAUUGUUUGCAUGGCAAGUGUUUGAGUUGCAUAGACUGAUAAAGGUUCAACGACUGAUUGCUGCGUCGCCAAAUCUUUUGCUUCAAGACAUAACUUAUCUGGGGAAACAUUCUACUAAGGUUUCUCCUGCAGAGAAACUUCCUUCACAGUAUGUUGUAGCACCUCCAGUGCAUGUUGCCAAGCGCAAAGGAGAUUGUGAGAAACCAAACCAUAAGAUGGAAUGCUCUGCAGAGAAUGCAGUUGGGAAGACAUCACUUUCUUCUGUGAAAAGUGGUAGUCAGCCCUCUAAUUAUGGGUCUUACAUUGGGAACCCACUACCAGUUCCUGUGUCUACUGAUCCCAAAGUGGGUCCUUGGUGUUUCCAUCAUUCACUUGGGCAUCAGUGGUUAAUUCCAGUGAUGUCUCCUUCAGAAGGACUUGUAUACAAGCCAUACACUGCGCCGGGAUUCAUGGGUUCACCGUGUGGAGGAUGUGCACCUUUUGGGCCAACUCCUCUGAAUGGUAGCUUUAUGAAUCCAGCCUAUGGGAUUCCAGCUUCUCAUCCUCACC
rnacentral:misc_RNA from 1 species